CCAAUAGCACUUGGGCACAUAACUUACCCUAAUACUGAAUCUCUACCUCAUGUACAUCUCCCCUUUUCCUUCUUUCCCCUAUCGGGAAAUUAUUUUUGUAUCGGUCUCCCCCACUAGUUCCUUGAGGGUGGAAAUCAUGUCUACUAGUUCUAUUUACAUUUUCCCAAGUGUUUAGUACAGAACUCUGCCCAGACUAGAUGCUCAGUGAAUAUUAUUGGGUCACUACUAUUCAGGGUUAGACUGCCAAGUAACCUACAUCUUGCAGAACUCCAUCCACGUGGGAGGAGAAGGAUCCUUCCCCCAUUUUGCCUUUUCAAUCCAUCAUUGUUUAUUAAGCUCAUACUGUGUGCAAAGCACUGUACUAAGCCCUUGGAAAAAUACAGCAUAACGGAGUUGGUAGACACCUCCCCGGCCCACAGUGAGCUCAUAGUCGAGAAAGGGAGACAGGCAUUAAUAUAAACAAAUUACAGAUAUUUACGUAAGAGUUGUGUAUCUAUUCUGACCCUUCAUGGGUGUACCUUUUCCCACAGCCAUCUUCUUUUGCUAUGUUGGUGGCCCAGCAGCGAUUCCCAACUUGUUUCUUCGGAACUGAAAUUAGGAGUUCCUGCUGGACAUUAUCUUGUAACAGAUUCCCUCUUCUCGUUUCAAGUUCCUAUGGAAUUAUUGCAAGAGGCAUUCACUGUAUCAGAGACAAGGUCCUGAAUUAAACUCCUUCGGAACAAGCACAGUGAAUCCUUAUAAUGAAAAUUUGGGGACACUGGUGAGUAAGAUACUUUCAUGAGAGGAUUGCCCAUAUUAUCCGAUGCAUUUCUGACAGUUAAAGACAUUUUCAGAUUCUGUACCAUGCUAGGGUAGACAUUACAGCCUCCUUCUCAUUUCUCCUACUAAAACAAGAAAUGGAAUCAUUGGGGGAUGAAUGCCAUUCUUGAUAACAAUUCCUUAUAUUAUGCUUGAAGUAAAACAAUUCCAUCCAUUUCCAUUGCUCAAUCUUAUCCCUUAAAGUGAAACCCAUAGGACCUGGCUCUCUAUUAUGAAAUAUUCCCUUCAACAGAAUUUUUCAGGUCACAGAAGGCAGGACUAUC
rnacentral:lncRNA from 1 species